UACGAAGGGGGCUAGCGUUGUUCGGAAUUACUGGGCGUAAAGCGCGCGCAGGCGGCUAUCCAAGUCAGUGGUGAAAGCCCGGAGCUCAACUCCGGAACUGCCAUUGAAACUGUUUAGCUUGAGGAUGAGAGAGGUGAGUGGAAUUCCCAGUGUAGAGGUGAAAUUCGUAGAUAUUCGCAAGAACACCAGUGGCGAAGGCGGCUCACUGGCCCGAUACUGACGCUGAGGCACGAAAGCGUGGGGAGCAAACAGG
rnacentral:rRNA from 1 species